rnacentral:lncRNA from 10 species
GGGAGCUGGGAGCCUACUCUGACUGCCACUGCUGCGGGCCAACAAGGAAUGGACCCAGUGUUUGGCCCAGCAGACCCUCCAUAAAUGUUUGUUGAGUGACUGAAUGAAACAGCGCUGGCUACAUUGGCAGAGUGCCUGGCACAAGCUCUGCCAGCCUCCUACCUGCUGCCAGCUCACAGACAGGCCUGGGUUUCUACAUCUGCCAGCGCUGCCAGGAGAUGAACUGGCCUUGGGGGAGGUAGUUCCCGGCUGUGGAGCCCGAGGGAGCAAAGCUGCAAAGGAGGAUUUUCCUCCACGCAGUUCAGCCUGGGCUGAGUAAUUGCUCACUGGGUCUUGGUCCAGCGGCGGCCAGGGCAGGUAGGCAUGGGGCUGCAGGAGUCACCAGUUGAUAGCCAAGCCUGGAGUUCUGCCAGCCACAGCUCUAGGGCCCCUGGAUGACAGCAGCAUCCCGGAGAUGCCACCAUGAGCUCAGAGGGGUCCCAUCACUUCUCUGAGCCUCAGUCUCUUGGUUGGCAGUUGCCCCAGCUCCAUGGGGCUGUGUGAGAUUUGAAGGGGUCCUGUAUGUGAGGCUGGGACAGGUGUUAUGAUUGUGUGGAGGGCAGAAGCUGCCUGGAAGUGUGAAAAGGCCUCGACCUCAGAUGCAGACAGGCCUGGAGGGCCUUGGGUGAGUCAUUUCCCUCUGCAAGCCUCGGCUUCCUCCAGCCUGCUGUCAUGAGCCAAAGAAAGGAGAAAGAUGGUUCUCAAAAGCAGGAACUUUUGAACCAUAAGUGAGAAAAGAGUAAUAACCGUAGUAAUAAUGCCUAUAAA